rnacentral:lncRNA from 1 species
CUUUAUCGUCAUCGAACGUUAAGUGUGCGGACCUUGCGGGUUCGAGAAUGAUGCAAACAUGACCGAGACACCUCUCUGGUCAAUAACCAAUAGUGGGACCUGGAUGCCCAUAUUGGUUCCAACAUAUUCUACGAAGAUGUAUAUUAGUCGAACCACGAUGUCAAGGAUUCAGCCAAUCACGUAUGCAGUUUCCUUUGUCCAUCGAUAUGUUACUUGCUCGAGAUUCGAUCGUAGGUAUCUCCAUACCUAGUUCAAUCUCGUUACGGGCAAGUCUCUUUACUCGUUCCGUAAUACAAGAUCCCGUGACUAACUCCUUAGUCACAUUGCUUGCAAGCUUCUUGUAAUGAUGUAUUACCGAGUUGGCCUAGAGAUACCUCUCCGUCAUAUGGAGUGACAAAUCCUAGUCUCGAUCCAUGCCAACCCAACACACACCCUCAAA